rnacentral:rRNA from 1 species
GACGGAAGGUGCAAGCGUUGCUCGGAAUCACUGGGCGUAAAGGGUGCGUAGGCGGCUUGGUAAGUUGGGUGUGAAAGCCCCGGGCUCAGCCCGGGAAGGGCACUCGAAACUGCCGAGCUGGAGUGCCGGAGGGGAGAGUGGAAUUCCUGGUGUAGCGGUGAAAUGCGUAGAUAUCGGGAGGAACACCAGUGGCGAAGGCGACUACCUGGCCUGUUCUUGACGCUGAGGCGCGAAAGCUAGGGGAGCAAACGGG